rnacentral:ncRNA from 1 species
CAGAGUAGGAUAGUGCGCGUUAAGUGCCCGUCGGACGGGGAGUUGCCGUCGGGACGAAAAGGGUAAGGCUUGUUAUUUAUAAGCCCCAGCCCUUGCGGUGCGUUGUCCGCAUCCCGCUG